rnacentral:rRNA from 1 species
UACGUAGGGUGCAAGCGUUAAUCGGAAUUACUGGGCGUAAAGCGCGCGCAGGCGGUUUUGUAAGUCUGACGUGAAAUCCCCGGGCUCAACCUGGGAAUUGCGUUGGAGACUGCAAGGCUGGAGUCUGGCAGAGGGGGGUAGAAUUCCACGUGUAGCAGUGAAAUGCGUAGAGAUGUGGAGGAACACCGAUGGCGAAGGCAGCCCCCUGGGUCAAGACUGACGCUCAUGCACGAAAGCGUGGGGAGCGAACAGG